rnacentral:rRNA from 1 species
UUCCUUGUUCCCUUUAGAGGAAGUAAAAGUCGUAACAAGGUUUCCGUAGGUGACCUGCGGAAGGAUCAUUAUCGAUUCUUGAUAAAAGAUAACGGAAAGAGGGUAGAGAGACUGUAGCUGGCUUUUCUGAUUCUGAUUCUGAUUCUGAUUCUGAAUCGCAUGUGCACGUCCCCUCACCUUUUCUUCCUUAUCUAUAUCCUUUAUAGAUCCCCUAGAAAGCUCAGGCCUCAGGCUCUGAGCUUUGCAAGGAUCUAUAUGUUUUCAUCACAUCACACAUGUCGUAUGGCUAGAAUGAAAUCAUAAUAUACAUAUAUACAACUUUCAGCAACGGAUCUCUUGGCUCUCGCAUCGAUGAAGAACGCAGCGAAUUGCGAUAAGUAAUGUGAAUUGCAGAUUUCCAGUGAAUCAUCGAAUCUUUGAACGCAUCUUGCGCUCCUUGGUAUUCCGAGGAGCAUGCCUGUUUGAGUGUCAUUGAAUUCUCAAUCAUCUUCUCUUUCUUGGGGGGAGGGGGGAUGGCUUGGAGUUGGGGGUUGCUGGCAGGGGAAAACCCGUCAGCUCUCCUUAAAUGCAUCAGCAAUCAAGUUGGCUAGUCUUUCGACGUGCACGGCUUUGGACGUGAUAAUGAUCGUCAUGGCUGGAGCGUCUUCUAGUUCAUCAGAUAGCUUCUAAUCUCGAGAGGAAGAGAGCGAUCAAGCUUUCAAUGGCUACUAGGGCAGCAGUCUGAAAUGACAAGGCUGGCCGAACGCAGAAAGAGGGCAAGAUCUAUCUCUCGACUUCAGAUAUCAGAGACUUGACCUCAAAUCAGGUAGGACUACCCGCUGAACUUAAGCAUAUCAAUAGGCCGGAGGAA